rnacentral:tRNA from 1 species
UGCUCUGUUAGUUCAAUGGGAGAACGCCAUCCUUACACGGUGGCUACGGCAGUUCGAUUCUGUCACGGAGCACCAA